GACAGAGGAGCCAAGCGUUGUCCGGAUUGACUGGGCGUAAAGCGCACGCAGGCGGUCGCGCGCGUGGGGUGUGAAAUCUGGCCGCUUAACGGCCAGGCGCCAUCCCAUACGGCGCGACUGGAGCCAUGCAGAGGGCGGUGGAAUUGCCGGUGUAGUGGUGAAAUGCGUAGAGAUCGGCAGGAACACCCAGGGGGAAACCAGCCGCCUGGGCAUGGGCUGACGCUGAGGUGCGAGAGCGUGGGGAGCGAACAGG
rnacentral:rRNA from 1 species